AAAUUGAAGAGUUUGAUCAUGGCUCAGAUUGAACGCUGGCGGCAGGCCUAACACAUGCAAGUCGAACGGUAACAGGAAGCAGCUUGCUGCUUUGCUGACGAGUGGCGGACGGGUGAGUAAUGUCUGGGAAACUGCCUGAUGGAGAGGGAUAACUACUGGAAACGGUGGCUAAUACCGCAUAACGUCGCAAGACCAAAGAGGGGGACCUUCGGCCUCUUGCCAUCAGAUGUGCCCAGAUGGGAUUAGCUUGUUGGUGAGGUAACGGCUCACCAAGGCGACGAUCCCUAGCUGGUCUGAGAGGAUGACCAGCCACACUGGAACUGAGACACGGUCCAGACUCCUACGGGAGGCAGCAGUGGGGAAUAUUGCACAAUGGGCGCAAGCCUGAUGCAGCCAUGCCGCGUGUAUGAAGAAGGCCUUCGGGUUGUAAAGUACUUUCAGCGGGGAGGAAGGUGUUGUGGUUAAUAACCACAGCAAUUGACGUUACCCGCAGAAGAAGCACCGGCUAACUCCGUGCCAGCAGCCGCGGUAAUACGGAGGGUGCAAGCGUUAAUCGGAAUUACUGGGCGUAAAGCGCACGCAGGCGGUCUGUCAAGUCGGAUGUGAAAUCCCCGGGCUCAACCUGGGAACUGCAUUCGAAACUGGCAGGCUUGAGUCUUGUAGAGGGGGGUAGAAUUCCAGGUGUAGCGGUGAAAUGCGUAGAGAUCUGGAGGAAUACCGGUGGCGAAGGCGGCCCCCUGGACAAAGACUGACGCUCAGGUGCGAAAGCGUGGGGAGCAAACAGGAUUAGAUACCCUGGUAGUCCACGCCGUAAACGAUGUCUACUUGGAGGUUGUGCCCUUGAGGCGUGGCUUCCGGAGCUAACGCGUUAAGUAGACCGCCUGGGGAGUACGGCCGCAAGGUUAAAACUCAAAUGAAUUGACGGGGGCCCGCACAAGCGGUGGAGCAUGUGGUUUAAUUCGAUGCAACGCGAAGAACC
rnacentral:rRNA from 1 species